rnacentral:rRNA from 1 species
CAAUAGCGUAUAUUAAAGUUGUUGCGGUUAAAAAGCUCGUAGUUGGAUUUCUGCUGAGAACGACCGGUCCGCCCUUUGGGUGUGUAUCUGGCUCUUUCUUGGCAUCUUCUUGGUGAACGUUGCUGCACUUGACUGUGUGGAGCGCUACCCAGGACUUUUACUUUGAGGAAAUUAGAGUGUUUCAAGCAGGCAUACGCCUUGAAUACAUUAGCAUGGAAUAAUAAGAUAGGACCUCGGUUCUAUUUUGUUGGUUUCUAGAGCUGAGGUAAUGAUUAAUAGGGAUAGUUGGGGGCAUUCGUAUUUAACUGUCAGAGGUGGAAUUCUCAGAUUUGUUAAAGACUGACUUAUGCGAAAGCAUUUGCCAAGGAUGUUUUCAUUAA